rnacentral:rRNA from 1 species
UACGUAGGGGGCGAGCGUUGUCCGGAUUCAUUGGGCGUAAAGAGCUCGUAGGCGGUUCGGUUAGUCAGAUGUGAAAACUCCGGGCUCAACUCGGAGAGGCCAUCUGAUACUGCCGUGACUGGAGUUCGGUAGAGGAGUGUGGAAUUCCCGGUGUAGCGGUGAAAUGCGCAGAUAUCGGGAGGAACACCAGCGGCGAAGGCGGCACUCUGGGCCGAUACGUGACGCUGAGGAGCGAAAGCGUGGGGAGCGAACAGG